GUACCAGGAUUACUCAGUUGGCUAGAGCGCGGUGCUGAUAAUGCCAAGGUUGCAGGUUCAAGUCCUACAUGGGACA